UCCACUGUCCCCAGCUGCUCCAUAUCCGCCACAGCAUUGCUUCUCCACUCUCCCCAGCUGCUCCAUAUCCACCACACCAUAUGCUUCUCUGCCCUCCCCAGCUGCUCCUUAUCCGCCACACCAUAUGCUUCUCCACUCUCCCCAGCUGCUCCUUAUCCACCACACCAUAUGCUUCUCCAUUCUCCCCAGCUGCUCCAUAUCCGCCACAGCAUAUGCUUCUCCACUGUCCCCAGCUGCUCCUUAUCCACCACAGCAUAUGCUUCUCCACUGUCCCCAGCUGCUCCAUAUCCACCACACCAUAUGCUUCUCCACUGUCCCCAGCUGCUCCUUAUCCGCCACAGCAUGCUUCUCCACUGUCCCCAGCUGCUCCUUAUCCACCACAGCAUAUGCUUCUCCACUCUCCCCAGCUGCUCCUUAUCCACCACAGCAUAUGCUUCUUCUCCACUCUCCCCAGCUGCUCCAUAUCCGCCACAGCAUAUGCGUCUCCACU
rnacentral:lncRNA from 1 species